UUAAAGAAAGAUAGCUAUAGGGUAUAAAUCUAAUAAGUAAUAUCCAGUUUAUCUCCUUGAGACAGAGCUUCUAAACAAUAUCACAAUUGUUUUCCCCCUAGGAAAAAUGUAUAAACUAGUACAAUUGACACUGGAGUUAACUAACUAAUAAUAAUAAUCAGGAGCAAUCAAAGUUGGGCAACAAUCAAGGCUUCAAAACCAUAAAGAAACGUCAAGAAAUGAAGAAGCAGUCUAGAUAUGGAUUAGAAUAAAGGAAAAUCUAACACAGGAGGAACACAGGAACAAUAAAGCUAGAUCAGAGAUGUUAAAACAUUAUCUUCAAUGCACCUGUCUUCAACAUUUUAUAAUGUUGGAAUCUUUACCAAUCUACUUCUUCAGCUUUAACUGGGAAUGUUAGAAGAAGUCUAUGUAACUACCAUUCUCAUGGGAUGUAUUAAAAAAAAGAGUCCAGAUGUUCACCAGAGCACCAAAGAACAGAAAAAUAAGAACCAGAUCUCCAUGGAUGUAGAACAGAAUAGAACAGAACAGAACAGAAUAGGCUUAAUUUGGCCAAGUGUGUUUAGACACACAAGGAAUUUGUCUCUUGUGCAGAAGUUCUCACGAUUUCAAAUGACAUGAUUUGAAACUUAGUCUCAGGCUUCAUCCUACAAGGAGAAAUGCACCAUUGUGGCUGUGUGUGUGGUUGGAGAACUUGAAGUGAAACCCUUGUACUUCAGUUGACUGGAAAAAUGAUAAAAUCGUGCCCUGCUGAACUUUGGAAAAAAGUCAUAGGAAAAAAUAGAAGCACAUGGACAGAAGAAAUGAAAGAAAAUAUUUUCUGUUUUCAAUCAACAACUUUCUCUGUAUCAUGAAGAGUUAUAACUAUGUGUUAUUAUAGUACUCAUAUUAAAAGUAGGUGUAGAAGGGCUA